rnacentral:rRNA from 1 species
CAGUAGCCGCGGGAAUACAGAGGCCUCAAGCGUUGUUCGGAUUCAUUGGGCAUAAAGGGUGCGUAGGCGGUUCCAUAAGUCGGAUGUGAAAUCCUGGGGCUCAACCCCAGAACUGCAUUCGAUACUGCGGGGCUAGAGGACUGGAGAGGAGAGUGGAAUUCACGGUGUAGCAGUGAAAUGCGUAGAUAUCGUGAGGAAGACCAGCGGCGAAGGCGGCUCUCUGGACAGUUCCUGACGCUGAUGCACGAAGGCCAGGGGAGCAAAUGGGAUUAGAUACCCCGGUAGUCCCUGUCUCUUAUAC